UACGUAGGGGGCAAGCGUUGUCCGGAUUUAUUGGGCGUAAAGAGCGUGUAGGCGGCCUGAAAGGUCAGCUGUGAAAACUCGAGGCUCAACCCCGAGACGUCGGUUGAAACCAUCUGGCUAGAGUCCGGAAGAGGAGAGUGGAAUUCCCGGUGUAGCGGUGAAAUGCGCAGAUAUCGGGAAGAACACCCGUGGCGAAGGCGGCUCUCUGGGCAUUAACUGACGCUGAGGAGCGAAAGCAUGGGGAGCGAACAGG
rnacentral:rRNA from 1 species